AGCAGCCGCGGUAAUUCCAGCUCCAAUAGCGUAUAUUAAAGUUGUUGCAGUUAAAGAGCUCGUAGUUGAAUUUCGGGAUCAGUACGCUGGUCGUGCCUUCGGUAUGUACUGGUGUUACUGGUUUCUACCUUCUGAAGAACCAUCAUGUCAUUAGUUUGGUGUGGCGGGGAAUCAGGACUGUUACUUUGAAAAAUUAGAGUGUUUAAAGCAGGCUCGCGCUUGAAUACAUUAGCAUGGAAUAAUGAAAUAGGACGUUUGAUCCUAUUUUGUUGGUUUCUAGGAUCGACGUAAUGAUUAAUAGGGAUAGUUGGGGGCAUUAGUAUUCAAUUGUCAGAGGUGAAAUUCUUGGAUUUAUUGAAGACUAACUACUGCGAAAGCAUUUGCCAAGGAUGUUUUCAUUAAUCAAGAACGAAAGUUAGGGGAUCGAAGACGAUCAGAUACCGUCGUAGUCUUAACCAUAAACUAUGCCGACUAGGGAUCGGAUGAUGUUAAUUUUAAUGACUCAUUC
rnacentral:rRNA from 1 species